UACGUAGGGUCCGAGCGUUGUCCGGAAUUAUUGGGCGUAAAGAGCUCGUAGGCGGUUUGUCGCGUCUGCUGUGAAAUCCCGAGGCUCAACCUCGGGCCUGCAGUGGAUACGGGCAGACUGGAGUGCGGUAGGGGAGAAUGGAAUUCCCGGUGUAGCGGUGGAAUGCGCAGAUAUCAGGAGGAACACCGAUGGCGAAGGCAGUUCUCUGGGCCGUAACUGACGCUGAGGAGCGAAAGCGUGGGGAGCGAACAGG
rnacentral:rRNA from 1 species